rnacentral:rRNA from 1 species
AGAGUUUGAUUAUGGCUCAGGAUGAACGCUAGCUACAGGCUUAACACAUGCAAGUCGAGGGGCAGCGGGAAGUUAGCUUGCUAACUUUGCCGGCGACCGGCGCACGGGUGAGUAACGCGUAUCCAACCUUCCCCUUAGUAGGGCAUAGCCCGUAGAAAUGCGGAUUAAUACCCUAUGUUAUUCGUCGAGGACAUCUGAAGUGAAUCAAAGGUUUACCGCUAAGGGAUGGGGAUGCGUCUGAUUAGGCAGCAGGCGGGGUAACGGCCCACCUGGCCGACGAUCAGUAGGGGUUCUGAGAGGAAGGUCCCCCACAUUGGAACUGAGACACGGUCCAAACUCCUACGGGAGGCAGCAGUGAGGAAUAUUGGUCAAUGGUCGAGAGACUGAACCAGCCAAGUAGCGUGCAGGAUGACGGCCCUAUGGGUUGUAAACUGCUUUUAUGCGGGGAUAAAGUGAGGGACGUGUCCCUUUUUGUAGGUACCGCAUGAAUAAGGACCGGCUAAUUCCGUGCCAGCAGCAGC